AGCCAGCUAAAGAGUUUCAAAUAGGACGAAACGCAUGUCCUAGAU
rnacentral:hammerhead_ribozyme from 1 species